UACGUAGGUCCCGAGCGUUGUCCGGAUUUAUUGGGCGUAAAGCGAGCGCAGGUGGUUUAUUAAGUCUGGUGUAAAAGGCAGUGGCUCAACCAUUGUAUGCAUUGGAGACUAGUAGACUUGAGUGCAGGAGAGGAGAGUGGAAUUCCUAGUGUAGCGGUGAAAUGCGUAGAUAUUAGGAGGAACACCAGUUGCGAAGGCGGCUCUCUGGACUGUAACUGACACUGAGGCACGAAAGCGUGGGGAGCAAACAGG
rnacentral:rRNA from 1 species